CCCAUGAUUGUAUAGUGGUUAGUAGUCUGCGUUGUGGCUGCAGUAUUUUGGUUCAAAUCCAGGUCGUGGCA
rnacentral:tRNA from 1 species